AUUGAACGCUGGCGGCAGGCCUAACACAUGCAAGUCGAACGGUAACAGGAAGCAGCUUGCUGCUUCGCUGACGAGUGGCGGACGGGUGAGUAAUGUCUGGGAAGCUGCCUGAUGGAGGGGGAUAACUACUGGAAACGGUAGCUAAUACCGCAUAAUGUCGCAAGACCAAAGAGGGGGACCUUCGGGCCUCUUGCCAUCGGAUGUGCCCAGAUGGGAUUAGCUUGUUGGUGGGGUAACGGCUCACCAAGGCGACGAUCCCUAGCUGGUCUGAGAGGAUGACCAGCCACACUGGAACUGAGAAACGGUCCAGACUCCUACGGGAGGCAGCAGUGGGGAAUAUUGCACAAUGGGCGCAAGCCUGAUGCAGCCAUGCCGCGUGUAUGAAGAAGGCCUUCGGGUUGUAAAGUACUUUCAGCGGGGAGGAAGGGAGUAAAGUUAAUACCUUUGCUCAUUGACGUUACCCGCAGAAGAAGCACCGGCUAACUCCGUG
rnacentral:rRNA from 1 species